rnacentral:tRNA from 1 species
GGGUGGCUGACAGAAAAUUAUGUGUUUAGUUUAGGUCUAAAAAAUGAGUCAUUAUAGCUCGCUACCUU